UACGAAGGGGGCUAGCGUUGCUCGGAAUCACUGGGCGUAAAGCGCACGUAGGCGGCUUUCUAAGUCAGGGGUGAAAUCCUGGAGCUCAACUCCAGAACUGCCUUUGAUACUGGAGAGCUAGAGUCCGGAAGAGGUGAGUGGAACUGCGAGUGUAGAGGUGAAAUUCGUAGAUAUUCGCAAGAACACCAGUGGCGAAGGCGGCCUGCUGGGCUGCACCUGACGCUGAGCCGCGAAAGCCAGGGGAGCGAACGGG
rnacentral:rRNA from 1 species